rnacentral:rRNA from 1 species
GACGAACGCUGGCGGCGUGCCUAAUACAUGCAAGUCGAACGAACCGCGACUAGGUGCUUGCACUUGGUCACGGUGAGUGGCGAACGGGUGAGUAACACGUGGGUAACCUACCUCAUAGUGGGGAUAACAGUCGGAAACGACUGCUAAUACCGCAUAGGACAUAGGAUCACAUGAUCCAGUGAGGAAAGGUGGCGCAAGCUAUCGCUAAGAGAUGGACCCGCGGUGCAUUAGCUAGUUGGUAGGGUAAAGGCCUACCAAGGCGAUGAUGCAUAGCCGACCUGAGAGGGUGAUCGGCCACAUUGGGACUGAGACACGGCCCAAACUCCUACGGGAGGCAGCAGUAGGGAAUCUUCCGCAAUGGACGCAAGUCUGACGGAGCAACGCCGCGUGAGUGAAGAAGGUCUUCGGAUCGUAAAGCUCUGUUGUUAGAGAAGAACAGCGCAUAGAGUAACUGUUAUGCGUGUGACGGUAUCUAACCAGAAAGCCACGGCUAACUACGUG